AGAGUUUGAUCAUGGCUCAGAUUGAACGCUGGCGGCAGGCCUAACACAUGCAAGUCGAACGGUAACAGGAAGCAGCUUGCUGCUUCGCUGACGAGUGGCGGACGGGUGAGUAAUGUCUGGGAAACUGCCUGAUGGAGGGGGAUAACUACUGGAAACGGUGGCUAAUACCGCAUAACGUCGCAAGACCAAAGAGGGGGACCUUCGGGCCUCUUGCCAUCAGAUGUGCCCAGAUGGGAUUAGCUUGUUGGUGAGGUAACGGCUCACCAAGGCGACGAUCCCUAGCUGGUCUGAGAGGAUGACCAGCCACACUGGAACUGAGACACGGUCCAGACUCCUACGGGAGGCAGCAGUGGGGAAUAUUGCACAAUGGGCGCAAGCCUGAUGCAGCCAUGCCGCGUGUAUGAAGAAGGCCUUCGGGUUGUAAAGUACUUUCAGCGGGGAGGAAGGUGUUGUGGUUAAUAACCGCAGCAAUUGACGUUACCCGCAGAAGAAGCACCGGCUAACUCCGUGCCAGCAGCCGCGGUAAUACGGAGGGUGCAAGCGUUAAUCGGAAUUACUGGGCGUAAAGCGCACGCAGGCGGUCUGUCAAGUCGGAUGUGAAAUCCCCGGGCUCAACCUGGGAACUGCAUUCGAAACUGGCAGGCUUGAGUCUUGUAGAGGGGGGUAGAAUUCCAGGUGUAGCGGUGAAAUGCGUAGAGAUCUGGAGGAAUACCGGUGGCGAAGGCGGCCCCCUGGACAAAGACUGACGCUCAGGUGCGAAAGCGUGGGGAGCAAACAGGAUUAGAUACCCUGGUAGUCCACGCCGUAAACGAUGUCUACUUGGAGGUUGUGCCCUUGAGGCGUGGCUUCCGGAGCUAACGCGUUAAGUAGACCGCCUGGGGAGUACGGCCGCAAGGUUAAAACUCAAAUGAAUUGACGGGGGCCCGCACAAGCGGUGGAGCAUGUGGUUUAAUUCGAUGCAACGCGAAGAACCUUACCUGGUCUUGACAUCCACAGAACUUUCCAGAGAUGGAUUGGUGCCUUCGGGAACUGUGAGACAGGUGCUGCAUGGCUGUCGUCAGCUCGUGUUGUGAAAUGUUGGGUUAAGUCCCGCAACGAGCGCAACCCUUAUCCUUUGUUGCCAGCGGUUAGGCCGGGAACUCAAAGGAGACUGCCAGUGAUAAACUGGAGGAAGGUGGGGAUGACGUCAAGUCAUCAUGGCCCUUACGACCAGGGCUACACACGUGCUACAAUGGCGCAUACAAAGAGAAGCGACCUCGCGAGAGCAAGCGGACCUCAUAAAGUGCGUCGUAGUCCGGAUUGGAGUCUGCAACUCGACUCCAUGAAGUCGGAAUCGCUAGUAAUCGUGGAUCAGAAUGCCACGGUGAAUACGUUCCCGGGCCUUGUACACACCGCCCGUCACACCAUGGGAGUGGGUUGCAAAAGAAGUAGGUAGCUUAACCUUCGGGAGGGCGCUUACCACUUUGUGAUUCAUGACUGGGGUGAAGUCGUAACAAGGUAACCGUAGGGGAACCUGCGGUUGGAUCACCUCCUU
rnacentral:rRNA from 1 species